CUGAUCCAGCCAUGCCGCGUGUGUGAAGAAGGUCUUCGGAUUGUAAAGCACUUUAAGUUGGGAGGAAGGGCAGUAAGUUAAUACCUUGCUGUUUUGACGUUACCGACAGAAUAAGCACCGGCUAACUUCGUGCCAGCAGCCGCGGUAAUUACAAAAA
rnacentral:rRNA from 1 species